rnacentral:rRNA from 1 species
GACGAACGCUGGCGGCGUGCUUAACACAUGCAAGUCGAACGAAGUGGCGAACGGGUGAGUAACGCGUAAUCAACCUGCCCUUCAGCGGGGUACAACAGUUGGAAACGACUGCUCAUACCGCAUACUGACGGUGGGCAUGGCGUCGGAUUAGCUAGUUGGGGGGGUAACGGCCCACCAAGGCGAGGAUCAGUAGCCGGUCUGGGAGGAUGAACGGCCACAUUGGGACUGGGACACGGCCCAGACUUCUACGGGAGGCAGCAGUGGGGAAUCUUCCGCAAUGGACGAAAGUCUGACGGAGCAACGCCGCGUGAGUGAUGACGGCCUUCGGGUUGUAAAGCUCUGUUAAUCGGGACGCGGUACCGGAAUAGAAAGCCACGGCUAACUACGUGCCAGCAGCCGCGGUAAUAC